GUCGAUUCCCAGCACUGCAAUGAAUUCUACAUCUGGGUUCAACUCUUCGUCGAUUCCCAGCACUGCAAUGAAUUCUACAUCUGGGUUCACCCCUUCGUCGAUCCCUAGCACUGCAAUGAAAUCUACAUCUGGUCCUAUUGCAGAGAAUUCAUCUAAAAAUGAAAAUGUAAGUUCAAGCAUUUUUUAGGACUUUCAGAUUAGUCUUACGCUUACAAAGAACUUCCCCUAUCGUUUUACAGUACUGUUGUUUCAAAGGCCUGACGUGACACUUUUUUUCCCCUCCAGUCUGAUAAAUACCACGUGUAUUGCUCAAUCCCAGACAGACCAGCAACCUCAGCCCAGACAGAUGGGUUGUAAAGUCUUCUGCAGAAACAUUGAAUCUAUUUGCUUUCUGUAGCAAUGUUUAACAGGUCUAAAAUAAAUACACACUCUCUAACAUGAAGUCCUCUGUUUAUAUCAAACACCACGUUAAUUUAACUCCACAUU
rnacentral:lncRNA from 1 species